UACGUAGGUGGCGAGCGUUAUCCGGAAUUAUUGGGCGUAAAGAGCUCGUAGGCGGUUUGUCACGUCUGCUGUGAAAGCCCGGGGCUCAACUCCGGGUGUGCAGUGGGUACGGGCAGACUAGAGUGCAGUAGGGGAGACCGGAAUUCCUGGUGUAGCGGUGAAAUGCGCAGAUAUCAGGAGGAACAUCGAUGGCGAAGGCAGGUCUCUGGGCUGUUACUGACGCUGAGGAGCGAAAGCAUGGGGAGCAAACAGG
rnacentral:misc_RNA from 1 species